CAGUGAUUUGCCUUUGAUCUCACAGCUGUUAGGGAUGCAGUCAUUAAUGAGACACACACACACACACACACAUUCUUGUACUUGUUGCUUUGUCAGGUCUACCUUGCAGUUCACCUGCUUGUACACACAGUUAAUAUGUGUCUGCUUCACCACCUAUCUCCACCCACAAACUUUGAGCUACAGAAACCAUUCUGGGCUUGAAAAAUUCAGCUCAUUGAAGAUAUUAUGGGGUGUUUUGAGGAUUGUGAUAAUAAAUUGUAUUAAUGUGUUCAGCAAAAUCUUGUGUUCUCACAAGCUCCUUAUGAAUUUAUACAGAGGAUGAGCGUCAGGGCCUACUUGGAGUCCUGUUUCCUUUGCUUCAAGCCUUCUUUCUCCUGCUAUAGUUAUGCAUCCAAGGUCCCCAUGGCAACCAAUUUGUGCACCUGGAGACACACAGCUGACUGGAAAGCUGCAUCUAAUGGCCAUAUGAGACACAUGAAGCCAGGCUCAGUAAACAUAGCACCUGGGAUGACACUUAAAACCCAUUCCUAGAGCGCUUGAAAAACCUUCAGCCCCUAUCUCCUCACAUGACCUUUGACCUACAGAAACCAUUCAGGGCUUUAAAAUUUGAGCUCAUUGAGGACAUUAUGGGGUGUAUUUAGGAUUUAUAUACAUUUAGAUUUUUCACAUUUUAAAGUCACUCAGUGAUGAUUUAUCAUUUAAUUUUUCAAACUAAUUUGAACUGAUUCAAACUGAUUCAAACCUUUCUAAUACUUAAAAAAUUAAACUUAUGCCACUUCCCACCUUCCUGCCUUUUAAGGCAAUUUCCUUCUUCAUUCAAACUUUGUGCAAUUUUAGACAUUUUUCUAGCCUCUUUCAGCAUGAAUAAAAUUUCUUUUUAUAGAGCAUAUUCAUACUAUUUGUCCUUCAACCAAUUAAUCAAUUAUCCAACUUACAUUUCUUUCACACCCCUUCAACAGCUUUAACAUUUAUACCUUUCUCCAUGUUUUAUUAGCAGUUUAGCAUUGCUUUUUCAGCUUUCAGCACUCAGCAUUUCCACGCAUUUUCUGCAAGGAAAUGCAAUUUUUCUAGUUAAGUGGAAAUGCUGACACAGCAUUUCCACUUAUUGUUAUUCUACUAUUUCUUUAUUAUUAUUAUUAUUUUUUUUCUUAUUAUUAUUCUUCCGUACCUUUUUUGGCCCUUUUCAACUCCUUACCACUUUGUGCUAUUUUAACCAUUCAAACUUUAUACCAAUGCACUCCUUCAGGACAUUAUUGCUAUUACUUUUCACCUUUCUACCAUUUAUACUUUUUGCAAUAUUUCACUUUUUCUGCAAAAUUUGUUCCAUUACAAAUGAAUGGAGAUACAGCUAUAACACCUUCUCACCCUUAUAACUUCUGCAUACUUUCACCUACAGACCUCAUUUUUGCUUUAAAAUGUUCAGCAACGUGUCUGCUACAAAUGUUGUAUUCACUCCUUUUUGCUAUUUCCUACCGUUUUUGCACAAUUUCGCUUGGAGCAACAUGAAGUCUUCUGCCUUUUUCAGCCUGACUCACGCUACAGCGUCUGACGUCAUCACUAGAUGCGGGCGAGGCCUUUUGGAUUCACUAGACCAAGCAUGAUUAUUUUGCUGCUGCGGCCGCAAUUUUCACUCCACAGCCAUAAAAAACACAUCAAAAUGGAGGUACACUCGUCCUGCUUCUCACAAAAUCGGUCUGAAAUCAUGAAAUUGUACAGCUUGCCCAGGAGGUGAGUACAUUCCUUCAGAGCCAGAGAUUCUGCACUUGUCAUGGGCUGUGUGCUUCGAUCGCACACGCACAUGCACACGCACGGACUCGGCCGCUCGUGCGCGCGCGGGCACACACACACACACACACACACACACACACACACACACACACUGUUUCCAUGAGUGCAAUACUGUCUCUCUUACUAUCUCUCUGUCAGAUUCUGCACUUGUCAUGGGCUGUGUGCUUCGAUCGCACACGCACGGACUUGGCCGCUCGUGCGCGCGCGGGCACACACACAUACACACACACUGUUUCCAUGAGUGCAUUACUGUGUCUCUUUCUCUCUUACUGUCUCUGUCAGAUUCUGCACUUGUCAUGGGCUGUGUGCUUCGAUCACACACGCAUAUGCACACGCACGGGCUCGGCGCGCGCGCGCGCACACACACACACACACACACACACACACACACACACACACACACACACACACACUGUUUCCAUGUGUGCAUUACUGUCUCUCUGUCAGUAGAAAAUACAGCCCCAAUAUGAACUUUGUUGUUACAGUUCUUGUCUUUAACUCUUUUAACAUACUAACUUCUUCUUUUUCUUCUACUUCUGCUUUUCUUUUCUAUACUUUCUACAUUUAUACAAUUAAUUUAACUUCAGCUGUUUCAUACUUUCUACAUUCAGAUGUAGGGCAGUAACUGAAGCAGGGCAAUAGAUGGUGCUGUUCUGCAUUCUCAAGUUACUAUGGUUGGAUGCUGCAGACUGCAAAAAUCUGUUUUACUAUUUGUACAUUUAAUAGGAACAUUGUUACACAUUGUUUAAAGGCAUUUGUUUUUCAAAUUCAAUUAUCCAUAUCAGUUCUGUUUAUUCACAUCAAUCAUAUACAUUUUUCACUUAGGCUAUCAGACAAUUUGUACAUUAAUCCAACUAAUUUACCUCCAGCUAUACUACAAUUCUUCCAUUCAUACAAUUUCUUCUUCUUCUACUCCACCUUUUCUACAGUUUUUCCGUUUAUACCUUCCUCCAUUUUUUAUUGGCAGUUUUGCAUUGCUUUUUCAGCUUUCAGCACUCAGCAUUUCCACGCAUUUUCUGCAAGGAAAUGCAAUUUUUCUAGUUAUUAUUAUUAUUCUUCCGUCCCUUUUUUGGACCGCUUCUCCUCCUUCAAACUUUGUCCGAUUUCAACCAUUCAAACUUUAAACUAUUCCACUCCUUCAGGACAUUAUUGCGUGUAUUUUUUUUCUUUCUACCCUUUAUACUUUUUGUUUUUUUUAACUUUUUGUGCAAAAAUUUUAACAUUGAAGUCAAUGGGGAAAUCUUCAACUUCUUCCUUUUCAUUCUUCCACCUUCUAGACCUUAUAACUUCAGCAUACUUUCACCUAGAGACCUCAUUUUUGCUUUAAAAUGUUCAUUCACUUGUCGACUAUUAUAGUUGUACUCAGUUUUUUGAUAUCUUUUACAGUUUUUCCACAAUUUAGCUUUAAGCAACUUGUGGUUUUCAGCAAAUUUCAAGCUUUAUAAUGGGUGUGUAUUGGAGAGUUUAGAGUGAUGAUGUCAUCAGCUAGAGUGCAGACCUCGUCUCUGAUCGACAGAACCUCGCUCGAAUAUAUCGCUCCCACGCCCACAAAUCUCACUCCACUGACACAAAUAAUACAUCAAAAUGGAGGUAUAUGUGUCCUGCUUCUCACAAAAGAGGUUUCAAAUCAUUAAAUCGUACCCCUUGGCCAGCAGGUGACCAACUGUCCAGAUAGGCGCAAAUAUCUCCCCAUUGGCCCUAAUGUAUUUCUUCUCCAAGAAAAUCCUUAUCGUCACUCAGGCUCAGACAUUUUUAACUCGCUGUUGUGGCCACAUUUUUCGGAGUACAGAAAUGAAAAACACAUCAUUGUGUUCAUGAAGGACGGAGGAUUCGUACGAUGUUCUUAUUUUCAUUCUGGGACUUAAGGAAAUCACGCUAUGUGAAGAAGUUCACAGGCUUCUAAUCCUCUGCUGUUCAGCUGCUUGUCAUUCAAACAGUAGGUCAGUGAUUUGCCUUUGAUCUCACAGCUGUUAGGGAUGCAGUCAUUAAUGAGACACACACACACACACACACAUUCUUGUACUUGUUGCUGUCAGGUCUACCUUGCAGUUCACCUGCUUGUACACACAGAUAAUAUGUGUCUGCUUCACCACCUAUCUCCACCCACAAACUUUGAGCUACAGAAACCAUUCUGGGCUUGAAAAAUUCAGCUCAUUGAAGAUAUUAUGGGGUGUUUUGAGGAUUGUGAUAAUAAAUUGUAUUAAUGUGUUCAGCAAAAUCUUGUGUUCUCACAAGCUCCUUAUGAAUUUAUACAGAGGAUGAG